UACGUAGGGCGCAAGCGUUUGUCCGGAAUUAUUGGGCGUAAAGAGCUCGUAGGCGGCUUGUCACGUCGGGUGUGAAAGCCCGGGGCUUAACCCCGGGUCUGCAUUCGAUACGGGCUGGCUAGAGUGUGGUAGGGGAGAUCGGAAUUCCUGGUGUAGCGGUGAAAUGCGCAGAUAUCAGGAGGAACACCGGUGGCGAAGGCGGAUCUCUGGGCCAUUACUGACGCUGAGGAGCGAAAGCCAGGGGAGCGAACGGG
rnacentral:rRNA from 1 species